UGCACACCGCAGUACAUCGUGUUGUUCAUGAAUAGGAUCUUCUGUUCAUUCAUACACUUGUAGCUAACAUGUCAGAGCGAUGAAAUGGUGUCUCCAUGCGUUUAAUAUAUUAUAAACAGCCUUUGCGUGUGUGAAACGUAUUUAAAAAAUGUAGCGUCUGUGGGGAAAACACUGCAUAAAGCUUAAUGUAAUAGCCAAGUCAAUAUUUCAGCACCACGGACAGCGACACUCCAGGGGGGAAAAGAAAAACAUAAACUCUGCUUGACUUUUGCCAUAUUUUUGAUUAUAACAAUAAGUAAUUUAACACAUAAAGACACAAAAAGUAAAAGACUGUAAUAAGUAGAUUUUCAGAUCAGUUUUAAGUGAACAGCGUUAGUUUUAGCAGCUCUCGGGUGGAGUUUGGCGACACCAUGCGGCAAGACGCUCAAUUUCUUCCCUCCCGUAUGUUUCUACCGCACUGGUCAAAUUAGUGUACUUUGUGUUCUGCACGUUCUCUUUUAGUGUUGUGCUUUGCAAUUCGACAGCUUUAGACGCUGCAGACUUUCUGUGACUAUUGCACGGUCGUUUAUAACAUCACAUCUAUUUAAAGCAGAAACUGAACAUAUUAGAAACGCCUCUUUGUAUAAACGAGGCAUCCCCAACUUUUCUCUCUUAAUGAUUUCCCUAAACAAAACCCCAACAUGCGCAAAGCACCUACCAGGCUUAAAGAACACAUAUAGGCUAGUGGUGCGCGCCUGCCACUGAAUCCAUUGGCAAAUGAGUUUUUCACGAUGCCUGGCAACUGCAAGGAGUGGUUUCGCUCUGGGAAACCGGGGCUGUGGUCACUUGCAGCGCGGACACUGUCCGUCUUUCACCUAUUUAGCCCGAGCCAUUUUCAUUAACGCGAGGCUGUCUGCAAGCACAACAGGGACGGUUGUUAUCAGCAGCCAUAGACUGUGAAGUGGGAGAACCUAAACGUGACGUCAAUGCCUAGUAACUGACGCAGCCCUCAAAAAAAAGAGAGAUUCUGCAAGCGUUAAUUAUCAUCGUUUGAGUACUGCUGUAAAAACAAAAACAUUCCGUUCGCAGUGCAACUGAUUACUGUUGUUUGUGCGCGAGGGUCCGUCUGUGUGAGUGUGUGCGUGCGUGUGUUUUCUUUAUGAGCUGCGAAUCCGUCCCGAGUUUCCAAGCGAAAGUUGCAUGGAGACACGCCGCGUAAGACGCGUAUCAUAAAGAGGAUGGUGAGCAACAUAAAGGAACGAGGAGAGCAGUAACAACUUGUGCUGAGAAAGCCAACGUUUAAGAAAUAUUUAGCCCGUAAGAAAGAGGGGCAUUGAAGCAGUUCGUUUGGGGGGGAAAUCACUGCAGCGAUGCAUCGGAGGCAAGUCGGAGCCCUUGUAUGGAGUUGGAGAGGCAAAAUUAAUGUACAUUACAUGCACUCCAUGUAACGCUCCUGAGCGAUGUCUUUCCAGGGCUUCCUGCAUUGACCAGGAAUCUCGCGAAUGGUAAAUAAGUGAAAUCCAAAUCCAAACUCCUUUGUCUGACGGCGCUGUUGAGUCGUUUUUUGCCUCUUCGCUACAGCUGAAAGUGUGAAUGGAAACCGAUAACACUAGAAGAGUAAGGGGACAUAUCUCUCAAAAUAUGUGAAGAGGAAAACAGGCUAAUAAAUAUAGGUGGAAGAUGCUGCGCCAAAAGGAAAAUCACCAGCAACAGCCGACGAGGGAAGCCCUGGUGUGGCGUCAAGGGGUUCCGUGCAUCCAAAAUCGCCCUUAUAUGUCCAGCCCUGUUUUGGCCAUCACCCGCGAAAGGGAUGCCACUAGGCACACGGUCUCAAAAUGCAGCUUAAGGUUUUUUUUUUUUUUUUUUUUUUUGUGCAAUGUUCCCGCUUACGUUGUUUGAACACUUCCAUCAGAUGUGCUCGAGACUGUGUAGCUAUAGGCGGAUUCACAUGGAUUACUCUUCCGCCCACGUCAUUUUCAUUAUACAGUACUGCAAUCGACUGUUUUCUAUUGCUGUGGACUAUAAUACUGGUCUUGUGCCAAAACUAACGCGUCUGUGCAGUUGCGCAAAACAAUCACGAUGUGAUCGCCAGUGUUGUUUUAAUCAAAGCAUCUCUUAAUAAAUGUCUAAUUUAUAAAUCCUGCAGCGUGCACAAGUGCCUUAAGCGUUCGCAGACAGUAUAUUUCGAAUUAUUUCAGAGGGUUUAAAUGGACAUGUGCAUGUAUUCACAGGCAAAAUUUAAAUGUGAGUUCGCGUAAAUACUUAAAACCGUACAUGCCAGAGUAACGAGUCCAGGAAUGACCGCGGAUCUUUGCAGAAAAAAACUCAUUACCUUGACCUUUUCAAAGACACUGUGGCUCUCUAUACACCUAUCCCAGACAUAGCAAGAUCUUCUUAAGUCAAUGCUGGAGUUGUAAUUUUAGUGGAAACACGGUUUUAUCCGAGUCGUGACUGCUAUAAUGAGUAAUAUGUGCGCGUUGGCUGCGUCAGGAGAUGCAGUCGCUGUGCGGUGCAGACAGAAGGGGGAGAAUCGUGACUGACUGGAGACGUCCGCAAAUGAUACGACCACCAAAUAAAAUCCUCAUAAUGGUGGCAUCUGCGCUUGAUUUUUUUUCUUUCUUUUUUUAUCUUCUUCCUUUUUUACACUUGUUACAUCUCAAGCCACAUCUCCUUUGCCUAGCCACCUCAACCUCCCCUUGCACCACGAAGGCGCAAGAAGAAUAUCAGUGAUUAAGGGGAAGGGAGGGGGAGAGCUUGGUUCGGGAUGAAUUUAGACUGAGUGGGGGGGGGGGGGGUUGUCCAGAUAAAGAUCGUGACCCUCCCACUUCGUAUAGUUUCUUGUAGAGUUCCGAGAAGAGCCACUCUUUAACAAUUUUGACAAAUGUUCUCGUUGGAUGCAAGAAAAGAACUUCACUGGGCAGGACAAAACCUGAGACAUCCAUCGUGUCAAGUAACGGAGGGAGAAAUGAACGGCUCGAAAUCGAAUCAGAACGUUCCCAAACGUGACGUCACUGUCUUCAAAAUCUUGCUGAUGACUGGACGUCUAUGCAAAAGUGAGAUGUGAAGCCAAACGGAUGGUAGGGGAGUAACAGCUGACAGGAAUAGAAGAUGUUGGAGGUUAAAAGAAGGGGAUUAUCAAUAAACAAGCGUUGCAAAGGCCUCAGGCGUGAGAAUACCGUGGUGAAGUCCUAUGGUUAAUCAUCUGAUCUACAACAUUCACAUGUCAGAGGGAAGAAUUAAAAGGAUGAAAAACUGGGAAAACUUUACCUUGUAUCCUGCACAAAAGAUCAAGGUCAACCCAACGUCAGCUAGACUGCUUUACCCUUGUAAAUGGAUAUUCAGCAAAUUAAUAACUUUGUAGGAACAACAUAACGCCGUCAGGUAUUUGCAAUAUUUGUCUGUAAACUACAUGGGGUUUAAUAAAUGAGCUUAACUUGUUUACGUUGUCACUUGCAGACGUCUUUAACGUCUGAGACGCAUGAGCUCUGAGACGUAAGGAAAUAUGGAAAUUAUGUAGUACGUAUUUAAGCUUUAAAAAAAUGUUUACUUGCACAUAACACCAUGCAUAGAUACAUUUGUAGUAAUUGAUCACCUGAAUGAGAGAAACUGUAGAGACGAGACGCACAUGAGCGCUUGUGGUGAGUUGUGUAGUAAGUUACGUGAGGGCAAACGCAGUCUGAUUUAAUCGUAUUGCUUCUAAUUAAAUAACAGACUAUAUGUAUCUUGAAAUGGAUUUGUUGUGACUGUGAUAAUAAGAACAUGUGCGUAGCGAACGUAGGAAACGUCUGCGUCUGUGUGGAAAUUACAGACGUGAGUUUUUUUUAGCUUGUGGUGUUUUAUAAUUGUGAGGGUGACAUGUUUUACAUAUUUGUGGGAUUCUAAUAGUUUGUUUAAAAUGUAAUAUGAAGCUGUAGACAGUUGGAGGGAGAGUUUUAGCUGCCAGGCGCGCGCUGUUCACUACAUGUGCUGCUGCUGACGUAUCACGUACAAGGCCAGCUGAGCUCAGAACUCGAGAUUAUGUUGCUUUUAAACGUUUAUCGCGAGAUAUGUUUAUUAAAUUGUUUACAUGUAAUUAGGUUUCAUAACUAGUGUUUAGGGAGCAUUUUGAGCAUAGUAAAUGUGAAAUAUGUAUUGUUGGAAUUACCAAAGGGUCAAAGAGGGCUGGGUAGUGCAUGAAGGGGGACAGAUAAAUAUGUUUAAAUUAAAGAAUAAAGAUUAUAGGUGUCGAGUUAUUCUUACGAUGUCUGUGGUAGAUCAGUGAGCGUCGAGGACUGAAAGCUGGAAUGUAUAAUGCGUUACGUGAGAGAAAACGUGUGUGUGAUUGUGCGUGUGUGUGUGUGAGAGAGAGAGAGUGAAACAGAGAGAGGGAGAGUGUGUGUGUGUGUCUGAUCUCGAAAAUGUUGUGCUUUAAGGUUUGUCUAAGCAAAGAUAAUUAAGUAAAAUAUCUACAUUUUGCAUCAGUUAUUAAAGUAUUAUUUUGUAGUAUAAUAAUAAAAGUAAAAAAAAAGCACUGUUAGUGCACAGUUUGAUUAUUUGUGCCUUAAGUGUCUUUUCUUUUUGUUGCUUUAUAAUUAUAAUAUCUGUAUGCUUUGCUGUUGUUUAUCAUGUAACCCCUAAAUGUGCUUAACAGUUUGAGCUGAAUUGAGUAAAAUGAGUCAAGUGUGGUUGCUGCAGUGUACACGACGUAAGGACGUAAUAACGUGUGGGUUCUGCAUUUCUCGAAAUUUGAAUGUCAUUUCUGUAUAGUUAACAGAGAAAAAAAAUAUGCUGCAUUAACUGUUCGACCCUGAAUAAUUGUUGAGCUAUUUUCUUACAUGAAACAAGCUGUAGGCCUACAUGUGGUGUGAGUCUUAAGUGUGAUUUUGUUACAAGACCUAAAAGCUGGAGGUCUGUCGUUCAUGUGACAAAGGUAUGAAUCACGUAUUUUGUAAUCAAACUGUUUGUUUUCUGUAUUCCCUAUCCCAUGUCAGGGAAAAUAAAAUGUUUGGAGUUA